AGUCCUCCUGGUAGCUGCAGAAUUUGAGAAGAGCUGCAGGAGGACUCAUUUUCAGGACACUUGUGACAGUCUAAUCAUAGGGCACCACUUAAGGGGUGGCAGCGUAAACACAGUCUGUCGCCAGACUGUAACCAGAUGCUCCUACUUGAGACCAAACAGCAAAUGGGUUAGGCUCCAAGCCAGAAGAAAGCCGGGGGUCCCACCUUCUGUCCUCUCCAUGGUCAAUUUCCUGGUUUUGAUUUUGUACUACAGAAACAAGAUAUUGGAGGAAACUGGGUAAAGUUUUCUACAAGGAGCAUGUCCCACUUUCAACAUUGAAACAAAUAUACAAGCCUUGUUUCUGUUUCUAAAAGCAGCCUGACUGCUGAAGCUUACCUUCAGUCAAGGGAAAGAUCUCACUCAUCUUCUGGCGGGCCAUCCUCACCUUGGUAAGCUCCCCUUCCAGCCGGAGCAGCCUGAUCAAGUCCACGUGGCAGUUAUAGUCAUAGACGUUGAUAGACAACUAACAGGAAAAGAAACAAGUUGAAAUUUAAAAUGCCAUCAUCAAGUAACUUAGCUUUUGUCACUACUGGUAACUACACACAUACCUGCCACAAACAAAAUAAAUGUGCUAUCUGAGAAAACCACUGAAACAGCAACCCAGCGUGUACCCACAGGCAGAAGACAAAACAAUAAAAGAGGCUUUAUUUUGAAACAAA